UAUAUAUAUAUAUAUAAUAUGUGUGUAUAUAUAUAUAUAUAUGCAUAAUGUAGAUGUACAGCCCCAUACACCACAUCGUUCAAAAAGCUUUAAUUCUGAAAGGUAUUUGGCAGUGUGCUGUGUGGGGCAUCAGUAAAAAACUGUAAAACCUUGUAUUUAUUUAUGAAAAUAUAAGUUAAUUAUACGUAUUUCAUACUUCUGUCAAUAUCUAUUGAAAUGACCUAUAACAAAUUUAUGGAUGCAUAAACAUGAAGUAUUUGUGGAUCAUCACUACGCGUUAGGUUGCGCAUGAUCAUCGAAAUCAAGCAAUGUCGAUGAUGACAGACACUUGGAUGGGUGACCGUUUUUACACAACACCAGAAACUUUCUGAAAAAUUUCUGAAAUCUUUUAAUGCGGUGUGGAAAAAUAGUUAACCUUUCAUAUACACACACUGGGUUACCACCCAUAAUUUUCUGACCCCUACAAUUCAGCGCUUCGUACCUGUUAAAUACCGCAAUAAAAAGAAAAAAAA
rnacentral:lncRNA from 1 species